rnacentral:rRNA from 1 species
GUCUACGGCCAUACCACCCUGAACGCGCCUGAUCUCGUCUGAUCUCGGAAGCUAAGCAGGGUUGGGCCUGGUUAGUACUUGGAUGGGAGCAUACUUCUAGCAUUCGGACCUGGUCAUGUAAUUG